rnacentral:rRNA from 1 species
CUAACUAUAAAUAAAAUCUGCUCAAUGCUUUUAAAUAGCCGCAGAAUUUUUACUGUGCUAAGGUAGCAUAAUCAUUUACCUUUUAAUUAAAGGUCUGUAUGAACGAUUUAACAAUUAAAUUAUUUUUUUAUUAAUAUAUCUUAAAUUUAAAUUAAAGAUAAAAAUGUCUUUAUUAUUAAAAAAGACGACAAGACCCUAUUGAACUUCACUUAAGUUUAGCUGGGGAAGCUAAUUAAAUAUUAUUUUAAUUUUUUUCUAUUAAAUAUAUUUCUAAUAUAAUUAAAUAAAAUAAGUUACCAUAGGGAUAACAGCGUAAUAAUUUUCAAAAGUUCUUAUUGAAAAAAAUGUUUACGACCUCGAUGUUGAAUUAAAAUUACUUUAAAACGCAAUAGUAUAAAAGUAGGUCUGU